CCUACGGGCGGCUGCAGUGGGGAAUAUUGCACAAUGGGCGAAAGCCUGAUGCAGCGACGCCGCGUGAGUGAAGAAGUAUUUCGGUAUGUAAAGCUCUAUCAGCAGGGAAGAUAAUGACAGUACCUGACUAAGAAGCCCCGGCUAACUACGUGCCAGCAGCCGCGGUAAUACGUAGGGGGCAAGCGUUAUCCGGAUUUACUGGGUGUAAAGGGGGCGCAGACGGCGAUGCAAGCCAGGAGUGAAAGCCCGGGGCCCAACCCCGGGACUGCUCUUGGAACUGCGUGGCUGGAGUGCAGGAGGGGCAGGCGGAAUUCCUGGUGUAGCGGUGAAAUGCGUAGAUAUCAGGAGGAACACCGGUGGCGAAGGCGGCUUACUGGACUGUAACUGACACUGAGGCUCGAAAGCGUGGGGAGCAAACAGGAUUAGAUACCCGUGUA
rnacentral:rRNA from 1 species